rnacentral:rRNA from 1 species
CCUACGGGUGGCUGCAGUGGGGAAUAUUGCACAAUGGGGGAAACCCUGAUGCAGCGACGCCGCGUGAGUGAAGAAGUAUUUCGUUACGUAAAGCUCUAUCAGCAGGGAAGAAAAUGACGGUACCUGAGUAAGAAGCACCGGCUAACUACGUGCCAGCAGCCGCGGUAAUACGUAGGGGGCAAGCGUUAUCCGGAUUUACUGGGUGUAAAGGGAGCGUAGACGGGGUGGCAAGUCUGGAGUGAAAUGCCGCAGCUUAACCGCGGAACUGCUUUGGAAACUGGCGAACUUGAGUGCGGGAGAGGUAAGCGGAAUUCCUGGUGUAGCGGUGAAAUGCGUAGAUAUUAGGAGGAACACCGGGGGCGAAGGCGGCUUGCUGGACCGUAACUGACGUUGAGGCACGAAAGCGUGGGGAGCAAACAGGAUUAGAUACCCUGGUAGUC